ensembl:lncRNA
AUUGCAGAGGUUCUCCCUAAAGAGCAAAGAUUCCGAGACUGACAUCCCGUUCCCCCGUCCAGAGGUCCUGCACAGAAAGAGAGAAGGAGUGACAGAGAGAUGCAACAUUGCUGGUUUGGAAAAUGGAGAAAAGGAAUCAUGAGCUAAUGAAUAUAGGCAGCCUCUGGAUGCUUGAAAGAAGCAGAAGAUAUUAAGAAGAGGGGGCAAGAAUACACAGAAGAACUGUACAAAAAAUAUCUUCACGACCCAGAUAAUCACGAUGGUGUGAUCACUCACCAGACAUCCUGGAAUGUGAAGUCAAGUGGGC